GUCGGUGGUGGCUCUGGGACUCGGGGAGGGGCAGGUGAGGGAUGAGAGGUGUAUGGAUGGUGGAAAACUAGACAUUGCAACCAGCUCGGUGGUCUCUUUUAUCCUUGCCCUGUGCAGAAGAGGCGACUUGUUCUGCUUGCUAGAAGAUGCAGUUGAUAUGGCCACAACCUUCAGUAGAAGGACAAACAUCACAGCCAGUGAGCUGCCAAGCAGUGCUCCGACCGACCUUGUCAAAGAGAGCAGCUGGUCCCAGUUUUAGUCAGCACCUCUCAGCAUAAGUGUCUGGGUCACAGAAGGAGAACAGGUCAACAUUUCCAAAGACAUUUAACACACCAGCACAAAAGGCUACUUAGGUUGUCUUUGUAUGAAUUUGGUUGACUAGAGAAGUAAAUUAAAAAGGUGCUUUGAUUGAAGAAGUCACAUGGACAUAAUCACCAUUUCAACAAUAUAUUAGAUGAUGGUUAUUGGAACAGCCCAAACAUUUACCACAGAGCAAGAGAUAUAGCUUGAGUGGCUACUAGACUAUUCCAGAAUCAAGGAAUGGAUGACUACAGGUAUCGGGACAACUAUGAGGGCUAUGCCCCUAAUGAUGGCUACUACCGGGGCAAUGAGCAGAACC
rnacentral:lncRNA from 1 species